rnacentral:rRNA from 1 species
UACGGAGGGGGCUAGCGUUGUUCGGAAUUAUUGGGCGUAAAGCGCACGUAGGCGGUUUGUUAAGUCGGAUGUGAAAUCCCUCGGCUCAACUGAGGAAGUGCAUCCGAAACUGGCAAGCUUGAGUACGAAAGAGGGUCGCGGAAUUCCCGGUGUAGAGGUGAAAUUCGUAGAUAUCGGGAGGAACACCGGUGGCGAAGGCGGCGACCUGGGUAGAUACUGACGCUGAGGCGCGAAAGCGUGGGGAGCAAACAGG